GACUUUAGAAAUCGUGAGGGUUCGAGUCCCUCUAUCCCCAAAA
rnacentral:tRNA from 1 species